AUUGAACGCUGGCGGCAGGCUUAACACAUGCAAGUCGAGCGAGUGGCGGACGUGUGUGUAAUCCGUGGGAAUCCAGCAUAUGGGGGGGGAACAAUACGGGAAACUGUAUAUAAUACCGUGUACCCAAGGAUGACCCAAAGUGGGAUUAGGUAGUUGGUGAGGUAAAGGCUCACCAAGCCGACGAUCUCUAGCUGGUCUGAGAGGAUGAUCAGCCACACUGGGACUGAGACACGGCCCAGACUCCUACGGGAGGCAGCAGUGGGGAAUAUUGCACAAUGGGCGCAAGCCUGAUGCAGCCAUGCCGCGUGUAUGAAGAAGGCCUUCGGGUUGUAAAGUACUUUCAGUCGGGAGGCGUUACCGACAGAAGAAGCACCGGCUAACUCCGUGCCAGCAGCCGCGGUAAUUC
rnacentral:rRNA from 1 species